rnacentral:lncRNA from 1 species
UCUUUUUGUAUUUCCUUACUGAAACUGUGAGGAGGGAGCUCUGGCCUCAGUUCGACCCUAGCCCUGGCUUCAUUCGCUCUGGCAUUGGCAUCCACUGGCCGCCGACGUGUCCCGUAUGCGCUGCUGCUGCCCCCUCCUCCCCUUCCCCUGCCCGGUGCGCGUGCGUGUAUUGGCAACUCCGGCACCGCAGAGAGGCCCCCUCCUCAGUCCGGAGCCUCCGCCUCCUCCUCCCCCGCCUCCUCCGCCCCCGCCAAGACCUACCUGGCUAUCAACAUGCGGGUGAGAGGGAGCGGAAGGGGCUGACGGGGGAACAGGAGUUGACGGGGAGGGGAGGGGGGUUGCUUUAUCACUCCACAUGUCAGCCAGGGUUUGAUCAUCUUAGCCCUCAUCGCCACCCUCCUUCCCACCCCACCCUUGCAGUCCGUGUACCUGACCCUCCUCGAGAUCGCUCUGGCCCUGCGCCACAUGCACUCACUGGCGCUGGUGCACUGCGACCUCAAGCCCCAGAACGUGCUGCUCAAGAGCUCGCCGAGGGACCCGAGGGGGUUCACUGCCAAGCUGUCGGACUUCGGGCUGGCCAAGAUGAUGGCGCACGACGACGAGGGGCAGCUGGUCAUUGACGAGGCGGUGGCAAGCGGGUAAGGGCAACGCGGGAUGGGGGAAAUGGGCAGGGGAGUUGGGGGUGGCUUUGAAGCUUCAGGCGAGGGCGAGGCACAGAUGCCUUUGCGUGUCCCCUGCCGUGUAUGACCGAGUUCCGCCUCAUGACGCUUGCCUUGCCGUACGUUAUCCCUGUACGACCGCUCCACAAAACCUGCAGGACCAUCACCCACGUGGCCCCCGAGGUGUUGCUGGGUGAGCGACUGCGGGGCGGAGGUUGGGCCCUUGUUUCCCGAAAAAAGGGGGUGGGGAAAGGGGAUGAAGCUGGGGAGAUGGAGACAUGAUACAUGGGAAGAAGCUGAUGGGCAGUGGGGGCCUUAAGGAUUUGUGUGAGGGGUCUGUGUAUGCGUCGUUCCCGGGGGGAGGGUCGGCUGGACGGAGGGGGGAUGGGGAGCUAGGUAGGGCUCUUGGGGCGGGCGGCUGCAACCCAACUGCCGAUCAUCCCACCCCAAUCCUUCGCACUCACCGCCCCGUUCCGUCCCACCCUGGUUCCAUUUUCCUGCUCGCUGCUGCUACUGCUACUGCUAUUGCUACUGCUGCUGCUUUUGGUACUGCUAUUGCUACUGCUAUUGCUACUGCUGCUGCUUUUGCUACUGCUAUUGCUAUUGCUGCUGCUUUUGCUACUGCUAUUGCUGCUGCUAUUGCUAUUGUUACUGCUACUGCUAUUGCUACUCCUAUUGCUACUCCUAUUGCUACUCCUAUUGCUACUCCUAUUGCUACUCCUAUUGCUACUGCUCUACAGGUCAGAAGGCCCUGGGAGCUGCUGUGGAUAUCUACGGUGAGCCCGGGGGAGGUAGGGGGUAGGGGCGCUCGGGAGGGAAGGCCAGGGUGAGGAAGGACGGUUGGCAGGGUGGCCCUAUCCUCCCCUCCGCCCGUUGCCCUAGGAACAGUACACAUACAUAGCCAUCUCCAACAGAACCACCACCACCACCUCUGCUCUGACUGUUCCAUGCGCCCGAAUAAAACGAAAAAGUGAAGUGAAGUGAAGUGAACUGAACUGAGAGAGCCGCAUUCUUAGAUCCCCCCAACACACUAAGAACUCCUUUCCCCUCUAUCCCCCCUCCUUCGCGCACCUCCUGCUGUUCCGCACCCGGGUGCCGCACUUCGCGCUCUUCGUCGUGUUGCUGGUGCUGGUGCUGGUGCUGCUACUGCUGGUGUUGGUACCGCAGCCUUUGGCGUCCUUAUGUACCAGGUGCGCGUGCGCGUGAAUGUACGUGUUUGUGGAAUAAUAGCACAGCUCCUUUUCCAUCCCGCUUUUCCUUGCCCGGCAUGUUGACAUGGAACUAUGGUGUUUAGCCGUAUGUGCUACCUAAGGCUCUUCCAAUUGCAGCUAUAUAUCCCCGGCCCCCUCACGCCUCCUUCUGGGCAUCGGGUGUUGUUUCUUUGUCUUAGGGUUGUUUAGGGGACGCCCGUGCGGGCGCAGCGCAUGCAUGCAAUGCCAGGCCUAUAAACACGUACGCAUGCACGCACAUGAUGAUUUAGAUCCCCCCUCACCGUCAACCUGCCUCCCUCGCCGCCUUGGUACCCCCGCCAUCGUCCUCCUCUUCCUCAUCACUCCAUCAUCAUCACUCCAUCAUCAUCACUCCAUCAUCAUCACUCCAUCAUCAUCACUCCAUCAUCAUCACUCCAUCAUCAUCACUCCCAUCAUCAUCACUCCAGCCCAACCCAUCUGAUUCUCUCCACCCAAGGUACUAUGCGGCAUGAAGGUGUACGACAAGACCAUGUCGGCGUCAGCCAUUGCCAACGCCGUGGCGCACCGUAUGAUGCGGCCGCAGCUGCCCGCCUGGGUGCCCUUCAACUACAGGUGUGUGUGCGGGCGGUGCGCUUUUACGAAGUUGGGACAGUGUGUGCGGGUGGCGCGGGAGGUAGGGAGAGGUAGGGGGAAAGCGGGUUAAGGAAAGGGGGGAUACAAUCGAACUCGGACGUGGUCCAACCGCAGGGACGUACCCUCCCUCCCACCCUCGCCAAGGGACAGGGUAGCGGUGUUCAGGGCGUGCUGGGUAUCGCCGCCACACGGAGAGGGGAAAGCGCUGCGAACAUGUUUUCCGUGGGGUUCGUAUCGCUUGCCAUCCCUUGCUUUGCUGUAUCUCUAUACAUCCACCGCCCCACCCCUACGCCCUCCCCCCCACACACACACACCAUCCCGCCUCCAGGUCCCUUGCUCAGGCCUGCUGGCACCACCUCCCUUCCUCGCGACCCACCGCCGACGAGCUCGUGCGGCACCUGGAGCGAGCACUGGAGGCCAAGCGGGCGAGCAGCAGCUACUCAUCCCACACAGGAACAGGCACCGGCACCGCAGCCGCCACAGCCGGCGCCUCAGCAGCAGGCAGCGCCGGCCGCUCCCCGCAGCCCAGGCCGCAAGCCCCCGUCCCCACAACCGCAGCUUCAGGUACAGGUACAGCUGCGGCAGAGCCCCAUGAGCGCUGAAGGAACGAGAGACAGGCAUCAGCCUGGUGCAUGAGAACGUGGCAGGGGCUGUGUGGCUUCUUGGGGUGGUGGGGACGGGGAGAAGGGUCACGCGGGGUUGGGGUUGGCCUGUAAACAUGGGGGUUGAGGGGUGGGGAGGGGAGAUGGGAGAGCUCUCCCAUUGGCAGGGGGGAGUGACUGGGCGGUGAGGUGACCUCCUCCCUGGAUUUAUCGCUGCCCUGGUUGUGUUGGAAGGGGCUGGCUGGGGCGAAAUGGCGCCAAUCUUGCCGUCGCGGUAGCCGUGAUGCGGGGGGCCCGCCGCCCCGCCCGCGUGGCUGCUGCGUGCACUGCGCGGGAUCUCGCGGAUUCGGCACCGGUUCACGGGAGCAACUGCCAUGAACCAGAACGACAAUAACGACAACAUUAACGACUAUGACAUUAAGAAGAUGAAGAAGAAGAAGGAGCCGCUGCGUUGGCCUCUGCGCGCAGGGGCUGGCGGCCCCACCCCCCACACCCCGUGCGGUGCGGUUCUGCUGCGGCCGCUGCUGCUGCCUCGGGUUCUCGUUGCCUUGUUUCCGCAGUAAUCCUUCCUCGUGGUGAGGGAGCUACGUGUUCACUAAGCAUCAUGAUGACUGCAUGGCACCCCCUGCAUUACCCCCGUAGCAUGGGAGGGGGAAAGUGAUUCAUCUGUAGAGGCUGGCAUUGCACACCCACACCCACACCCACACACACACACACAGAAAUCCGCAUCAGACACAUAGAUACAUACAUAUAUACAGACACUGGCUCGCGCGCGUGUGUGCGUGCGUAUAUGCUCGCAAUGGGCGGCUUUAUAUCCCCUUAUGACGCCUCACGGUGUUAUGGUGCAUAGCACAGCAAUGGAAGCUCUCAAUUUCCUUAUUUGAUGCGGCCGUAGAAGCAGUAGUAGCAGCAGUAGUCGGUGGCGCUGCACAGUGCGCUCUGCUGCUGGGUUGCAGAGGGCAGUUGCACUCCCUGCUGGGAGGCAGGAGCUCCUCAGCAUGUACACACACACAUACACGUCUUCGUGUACCACCAUUUCCAGUUCCCUCAUCGCGGCUCAGAUCAUAAAAGCACACGUAUUGGCGAAGGAAUGCGGUAGGUCAUAUGAUGGCUUGGACGGCCAGCCGGACGCGCGGUGAGGCACUGGAGAGACUGUACAUGUUGUGUGUGGUGGUGAUGUGGGGACCCCGAUGGGGUGUCAUGAAGAACCGCCAUCGCACUGAGGUAUUUGUGGGGGCCCCGGAGCCAUUGCUGGUUUUUGGUGUGUCUAUGCAGACAUAGGUGUGUCUGUGCGUGUAUGUGUGCGUGUGUGUGUGUGUUUGUUUGUCUGUACGUGUUUGUGUGUUUGCAGCGAACUGGGAACCUUACGAGAGUGAGUCUGCGUUUGGAUGGGCUGAAGCGGGGUGGGUUGGUUGGUUGCGGUGUGAGACAUAGGAAGAAUGGGCAGCUGGGAGCUCGCAUUCUCUUGUUGCAUAUUGGCAGCCAUGCACACGGGUUAAUGGUUACUGGGACGGCAAAGUGGCUUCGGGCUGUUGUGCUGCUGAUUUUCGAACUGCUCAACUGAGACGGCCUGUUUUUAGAAAGGGCUUUUGUCAGGGGGUGCAAAAGUAUAUGCUGUUGUGAAUGCGUUUGGCUGGGCUGGGCAUUGAACGGGGUGUGGUGAGGUGGGGUGUUGUUGCUUGGUGGAUUGCACCGGGUAUAGCGGGUGUGGCGGCAAGGUGAAAAUGCGAAAUGGCGGACGUGAUAAAUCGCCUGGGGUAUUAGCGCGGACUUGGGCAUGGGCCCACAUGAUCAUCAAGGUAGUAGUGGUGGUUGCGGCCCCAGCGGGCUGUGUGCGUGGGUCUGUGUGCGUUUCGAUGCAUGUGUUGCUCGGUUGAGCACCUCACGCUGCUGCCGGGUGCGCGUUGGCUAACCAACCUGCUUCAGAUUUUUGCAAACAACUGGAAAGCACAAUGCGAUCUCGGCGCAGUGUGUUGAAGAAUUGGGUUGCGUUGCUUGUGUUGUGGGUAACGAUAGGAGGUUGCGGAGUGAGUGGGAAGGUGGGGGGAAAGGGGGGCGUGGUCGGUGUCACUAAGGGGCCCGGCGCUGCACGUGGAGGAGGUGGCGGCGUGGUGUAUGCAAGCAUGCGGGACGCCCGCCGUGGUGUGCACAUCCACACAAGGCACCACCGAUGCCGCGCGGCGCGGCGCAGAAAAUUUCACUGUGAUGUGGAAGAUGUGAAUAAACAUGAACCAAAGAGAGGAAUAUGCUUAGUUUUGUUGCCUGCGGGAGGUUGCUUCUGCCGCAUUUUAUCAACGUACGCGUUUGUCUGUCUGCAUGUAUGAUGUGUGAAACAGGGGGGUGUAUCUUCGCCCGUGGCAGCUACCCUGCGAAACCCUGCCUUCCCCGGUAUUUUCGGGGCACCCUCAUCCAGUCACCCUAGUCAACUUCUCAGUGGAUCGCUCAGGUUCCGCACCCACCACCAGCAUCCAACGGAAUCUGCCGGGUCGACAGCGGCCCAACUCCGUUCCUGGUCGGCUCGCAGGUUAACUUUAUCCCAGGUCACCACCGUCCAUCAACUAGGGGCGCAAUGCCUUCCACCAUCGGAAGGACUUUUGACCCUAACGGGUAUCGAUCCCGGGAUCUCCCGGGGGCAAUGGUCGCGCCUUACCCUAUGUAUGUAUGUAUGUAUGUAUGUGGUUAUGAAGGUAUGUAUGUGAGGAGCAGGUAUAAGUAAGACGGAUUGUUUACCAGUACACUUUGAGGAUCGUACAGCCAACCGCUUUACGGCCGUGGUGGUGGUAAUUGCGGGGCCCUGCCAGGCUCAGCCGUGGACCAGGAUAGGUCAGAAAUCCUACAGGUGCGGCGUAUCAUCACUCGAUCACCCUCUUCCCCAUACUUCCCGGGCCAUGUCUGCUGGUCCGCGGUCUGCAUGGUGCAUGCACGUAUGCCUGUUUUUAGGAUUUACACUCGCCCUCCUGCCCUCCUGCCCGGCUGGGAAUCCUCAUUAGCACUGGUUGCCAAUGGGUUCGUACUCAGCUGCCGUACGGCGGCGGCACAUGCUGUUAUCUCGAUGAUGGCGGGGUGCGGGACGAUGCCUGUGGUCACCGCGUGGUGUUUGCUCUACCGGAGUGCGUGCUGCCAUAUGGCGCCUGCUUUGCCAACACUCCGGUAGACCUUAGGAUCCGGACGUAUAUGUGUGCGUAUGUGUGUACGUAUAUCUAUGUGUGUGCGUGCUUGUAGCUGAGCGGCGGUAGUUGAGCAGCAUGCAGGGCGCAGCGGCAGACGGGAAGGCAGAUGCGCGCUCCAGCUGCAGCGAGCAGCAACAUAAGGGAGCUAGGGCAUUGCUAGGGAAGAGGAGGCGGUGCAGAAUUGUCUGUGGGGGGUGGGAGAGAGGUUCAUCGAUGGAUGGCCUCCAUCCCGCCCUCAUGCGGGCAUUGUGCGACCUUAAUGUGGCCGCCACUGCGCCGCGCGUGACUGAGUGUCUUGCUCAUAUGGGCAGUCCCACACACACGGGCUUCGGUCCAGAGCGCAUUUGUGCGUCAACUAUUACUAAGAUCGCAAAUAAAGAGAUCCUUACAUAAAUAUUGUUCUCUGUUAUCCAUAUGUAGUUCUCUGGUGUUUGAGUACACCCUGCCGCGCUGUCACGCUUGCCUAUACGUUUUUUUCGCAGAGCAGGCUCGGCACAGUUUUACCCCUUCACCAGCGUGUUGCUCGCUGGCUGCGGGGGGGGGCGUCCAUCGCGGCUGCUGCCGGCCUCCAUAGCCGUGUCUUUUCAACCCCCCCAGCCGCUCCUACCUAUUAGGCACUGUACUUGAGGCUUUUGCGCUUGACGGUGAUGACGAUGGGGACUGAUGAUUGGCAAUGAUGUGUUAAUGAUGAUGGUGGUGGUGUUGAUGUUGCCUCAAAUUUUAAGGUUUGCAGCUGCUGCCCAGCUGUUUUUGAACUAGCUUGGGCUUUUCAGGGUAUUAUGAUAAAAGUGGCGAUCGAUUUGCAAGCAGGUUCGAGUACCGGAAAGGCCGGCAGAUCGAGCCAGUAAGUCUGUGCUUGUGCUCAGGAGCAGGACGGUGCGGUCCGGAGGUGAACCCCCCCCCGGGCUGUCCUCCCUCCCUCCCGCCCUCCCUCCUGACGCCUGACAUAGGAUGGCAAGCAAGGGUUCGUCGAAAACAGUAGUGCGGAUGGUGCCACACAAACACGGCAGGAGCGACAGCAUGAGCCGCCCUGGCUGCCUGUUCUGGAGUCGAGGCCAUCUACGCUGCCUGAGAGCCCAUCCGCUUCUGCUGGCUGAGUCCCUCCGGUCGCUGUUCUCUGUGCAAAGCUUGGUUUUUUUAUGUUUUAAUGCCAUGGUUGGCCGGUUAUUGUCAUGGUUUUGUAAAGUAUAUAAAAGUUCGGCCGCGGAGGUCAGUUGCGAAUCAGUUAAUGGUGGCGCGUUUCCGGUGAUAGUAUGCAUCGGGAGGCCAACUGUCAUCCCCUGGUUGGUACCUGCUUGCCUGCCUGCUGCCUGCUGUUGCUCCGCUGUGUUGUUUUCCUUGCAGAGUUUCCGGAACGUUGAUGGUCCUUCUGGCGUCCAUUAUGAAAGAACUUGUCGCGGCAGGGCGUUCCCCGGGUGGGAUGCCGCUGGUUUACCUGCGUGUUCGUCUGUCUGUCUGUAUGCAUGGUGUGCGGGUUUGUAAGUUCGUUGUUUUUGCCUGCUUUGCGGUAUAUUUGUACAUCCGGAUUCCGGGCGGGGCCUGUCUGUUCCCGGGUUACCGUAGGAGGGGCAUUUCUCGGGUUGCUUGCGGACAUGUGCCACGUCUCACAGCCAUUCCCAUUGUACGGGUGUAGAGCGCAAGUCAGUAGAGGUGGUUAUUGAGCUGUCGGUACCGCUUUGCGUGUUUCCAUAAGACUUUACUUGGUCAGUGUCACGAAGGCAGGCAGCGCUCAACGGCACAAAAAUAGCCUGAGAGGCUAUUUGUAUGCCGCAUCGAUUACCGCUUUGGCGCAGUGACAUUUUCUGCUGAGGUUUGCGCUGAACUUCGCGUGCUGUGCUGUGUUGUGCUGUGCACGCUGCAUUACGCUGUGAUGCAGUCCUAGCCGUCUUCACCCUGGUUUGCUUGAUAAGCCCAGUGGGACCCUGGGGAAGGGGGUCUUGUUACAUGACGAGAUGAUUUGCGUGUGGUUCACAUGCGGAGUGGAUUGGGGCAGUACUACAAUGAAUGAAGGAAUCUUUGUGCCGUGCAUGGAUCCCGGCAGUAAAUGUAACACAUGAAAAAAGGACGGUGGUCAAGGAAGGUUGGAGCGGUGGCAAUCGUUAACCAGCGCGUGAUCAGUCACUUCAGACCGAGAGAUUUGUGUGCCACAUUGGUGGUGUUCAGCAGUUGCAGUAAGUGAGAUGUCGGCUUCUACGACAUUCGGAAAUGGCGAAGGCCACUCUGGAGUUAUCAUUCUUUUAUGCUAUUGUAUGCUUGGGCAGCCUGCCUGCUAAGCCCAACCUCGCUGCGUGCAGCUUAAUCGACCGCCAGCAUCGAAUUUCUGACUAGUAGGCUGCAGCCUUUGUGCUACCUGACCUUUCUACGGCUCCCUCUCCUUGCUUCCUGUGCGUAUACAUUUUGCUACGUAGGAUUAGGAUUUCCGCCCAAGCCUGGCUGCAUGUGCGGCAGCAACCUUUUCGUUUCUUUGUAGAUACAAAUCUAUGCUCACGCCUGCGCAAACCCAUUUAAAUUUCUUGCCGUUGAAGAAGUCACCUGGCUGCAAACUAGGCAAUCGCAUGAUUUAAACCUAUCCAGUGUAACUCUUAGCGUAAGCUAUAUGGAAAUAUCUUUGCAUCUAAAAUCAAGCGGUGUAAUUAAAGAAACAUGGUGAAGGUAGGUCCGGUUACAGUUAUUAUACUGCAGUGAACUUAGGUACGGGUUCCACGGUCUUUGAGCAGAAAACGAUUCUGUUGUUUGUAAACUGAAACAGCCAUAAUCUGCAACUAUUUACCCAAGGAAUGCUGGGCUCCUGCGUUGCAAUUCCUUAAAUUGCCAUGUAGAGCUUAACAGGUCCAGCAGACAAAUCCAAAUCAUUACAAUCUAAGCUUUUUCCAACGGGAAAUGCGAUUUUUUUCAUGCCUGCUGAACGGGCAAGCCCGGAAGCCUGCCGAAGAAGCAUUGUGGCUUCCCAAGCCAGACAAAAAGGUUCAAAAGGAACCUCCGCGUUAUAAAAUUACGUCUAAAGUCAUAGAAACCGACUGCACCAGCGGCAGCGCAGCUCUUGGACCCAUCAUACCAAGUAGUGAUGGAGGACACACCUUGGUGAGUGCCGUGCGCCUUGGAGUAAUGAACACAACGGGGUCGCAUGGAUAGGAACACCACGCCGCAUCCGUAACUUUGCAGGGCAGCGAGGCCUUUAUCAGGUUGGUCCACCUGCUGUCUACUACGGAAGGUGGAUGGUGGUCAGCACUUUCGGAAGGAUGCCAAGCGAUUUGCGAGUGCCUAGGCGCAGCUCAUGCUUGGUAAGUUGGACUCGCACACCGCAUGAUCGACUAUUACGGCACGCUGCGUGGUCGACUAUGAACGAAAAAAUCUCUUAUAGGCAUGAUCUCCUCAUACCCUAUGUAUAGAGUCGUGGGACCGGGUGGUUUUCGCCAACUUUACCGUCAAAACCGUCGAAGGCGUACCCACAGUAAAGACGACCUGCGAUUUCGCCCUUCUCUCCUUGCGCUGUCCCCCUAACCUGCAACCUUUGGCAUCUAAACUACUGCGUCGGCGCCCCAGCCUAAAGCAGACGGUGCGCACGUGUGUACCAGUACAAACACCCCCCUGGACGUGCGCCCCAGGCCUCCGGGGCUGGAGUGGCCGUGCGGGUGCGGUUGCGUGCUGCCAGCUGCUAUGAGGCACUGCCUUCCGCAUCCAACGGCAACGGCAAUCUGACUAAGAAGACCGGCUGGCAAUCACUGUAUCCAUAGGGCCAGGCGAGGACUAUCGUCUUUAUGCUCCUCGCCUCGCACUGAUGGGCACCAAGAGAUACAUAUAUAUGCCAUAAGGCACCCGCACCCACAUCCACACCCACAUCCGCACCCACACCCAAGCUAAACUUUCUUGCAACACUCAGCUGGCUGCUGUCAGCAGUCGAUUCAUGUGAUUCUUUUCCUUCUGCCUAUGUAAGUGUAAUUUUCUGGACCCUGUUCGAGAGUUGCGCCCAGGGCCCUCCCCUCCCCUCUUCCGAAUCCAUCUGGGUUAUGACACCAAACAGACGAAUCACGCGAAGUCGCCCAGGACCCUCAUCUCUUCCGCGACCUCACACCCACGGCCACGCCUUCCCGUCCGCUUCGCUUCCCUUCGCAGCAUCUUUGUGCUGAGCACGGCGGACUUUUGGGCUGCAACGGCUGCCUGUGCCGGGUUGGGUACGGCAUCAACGGCGGGACGUGCCUACAGUUCCGACCCGCGAUUCAACGGGUCGGCGCCGGCCGCCAUCCUGCGGAUGCGACAGGUGGGCAGGAGCUUCGUGCGGCUUGGUUAAGGGUUCUAUCACGCAUGGUACGGCAGGCAGCCAGCAUCUCUUGGGCCAGUGCGCUUCUGGCAAUGGUUGCGUACGGCGCUGUACGGCAUGCUCAAAGCCUCAUGGAUAAUUGCGUAUUGGAAGUCAUCUCUCUGCCCCCCACCCCUUGCCUCCUCUUCCUCCUCCUUUCAUCCCCUCCUCCUCAGGAGUGCCCCUGCCAGUCGCUCAUGUAUCGCAGCGCGGUGGGCCUCAUGCCCUCUGGGGCCGCACCUGCAGCCGCACCACCAGGAGCCAUAGCCAUAGCAGCUACUGCCAGCACACCCACCACUGCUACAGCUUCCGCUGCUACGCUGCCCCCCGGCGCCGCCUCAGGCGCAGACGGGAUCGCAGUCAGCUCUCGUGACAGCGGCGACACGGCGCCCUCCCACUCCCUGGAGCAGCGGCCCGCGGAGGACCUGCCCGGGGACUGGCAGAUGCUGUUCGAGGAACACGGACUCAACCAAUUCGCGGCGGUGCUGUGGACGACGGAGGCGGGCGAGCCUGUGGGGGUGCUCAGCCUGGCAGCGCAAGGUGUGGGGCUUGUGGGCUAACGCUGGGAGGGGUCGGAAGUUCGGAACAGUGGGGAGCGACUGCUCGUUCAGGAGGAUGAGGCGGAGGGGUAUGGACGCGGGUGGAAAAGUUGGCUUGCAGGCAGGGAGCGUGGGGGCGGGGGAUUGGUCGUAAGGCAUGGUAUGGGCACAAGUGUUCAAUGCUCGUGACGAACCUGACAUGGGCUGCAGGUGCACUGGAGGGCCGUAAAAGGGAGUUAAGUAGGGGGAGUUCGCAUUGGCUGUAGUUUCUUCGAACUGGGUCGAGCUGCCCUCAAGUUAUUUGUUUAGAAGCGUAGUGAGCGUAGUGAGCGUAGUGAGCUGGGCGCGUUAGGGUUUCGGGGAGGGCAAGGCCGAAAGGGGUCUAGCUGGGAAGGGGCCCGGCUCCUUCGGGUUUGACUGAUUUGGGUUUGACCAAUCUUGUUCAGACCGAUCUGGGUUUGAAUGAUCUGGGUUUGACUGGAUUGGGUUUUGCUGGGCUGCACUGGGCUUGAAUGGGUAUGGCUACCUAGAUUAUGCCCAGCUCUAGCUGCGUGUGCUGAGAGUGAUCCUAAUGAACCGUGGUUGAACCGUGGGUUUCUUACCGCUGCUGAGGGUAAGUGUCUCGGGGGACGUGUGUGGGAGCUGCCGAGGUCCCCGAGUUUUGGGGACUGGGCCGUAAAGCUGUCGAACUCUGCGUCCCCGCGCCCUGACGUGCCGUACCUCACCUUGCCGCACUUCCCCCAAGCCCCCUGUUUGGCGCCCUCUUCUUCCACCUCGCACAGAGCCUUGGUGGUGUCGUCCUGAGCACUACCUGUCGCUUCCCCCUUUCCUAAGUUCCUCGCGUGUGGUCCCCCGCUUCCAUUUUUCCCUAUCCUCGGCCGCGGCCCCCUUACCAUCCCUCCCCUUCCCUCCCCUUCCCUCCCCUUCCCUCCCCUUCCCUCCCCUGCUUUCUCCGCCUCUCGUUUGUCUAUUCCAGGCCCCGUCCGUCCCCCUGGUUGGACCCCCGAGGCGCUCCACUCCGCCGUGGGCCUUAUGUCCCCCCACAUCCGAAGGGCCCAGGCGGUGCUGGCGUCACCCGCGCUGUCGCAGCUGCAUGCGGCGGCCACAUUCAGCGACCUGGUCAACGCGGUGGCGGAGGCGGCGGUGGACGUGGCGGCGGCGGUGGCGUACGUGCGGGGACAGAGCAGGGUGGCGUUCAUAGGGGAGGUAAGGCACACAAUUGCCAACAACACCUUUAUCACCGUCACCAUCAUUAACAAGAACAACAACAUUUAUAUCUGCACAAAUACAAAGACACACACACACACACACAGGCACACAGGCACACCAACAGAUGAAAUCAUUUUCCUAACAGGCCCUCAUGGGCAUGAGGUCACGGAGAGCAUCCGAAACGUCCUCGCCGCAGCAAUUGUUGGCCGGCAGCGCCCGGGGGUCGGUCGUGGCACCACGCCCAGCGCCCGCCCACUGAGUAAGCGGGAGACCCCCCUUGGGCCCCUGGCACGAAUCCGAAUGCUCCGAGGGGAUAUCAAACCUGCUGUGAACCCAGACACCCACCCGGGCAGUCGCCACGCCGCUGCACGCUGCACGCGGGCCUACUUACCGCUUGUGCCUUCAUUAGACGUGCCACCUGCAAGGUUACCUUAAAGGUACCCUUCAUCCGUCGGCUGUCGCUGUGCAUGUUUGAAAACAUGCUCGCGCGCCCACGCUGCCAACCCAGUGCCCUUUCCCUUUCCGGAGCGUGGCUCAGUCCCUCUUCCUUGCCCCAUCCCACCCCACCCCGGUGCUAAGUUUAAUAGUUCGUCUGCUAAAUCAUAAUCGAUCGCUUUUACAUCGCUGUUAAAUAAAAGCCACGGUCUAAAUAAAGGUCACGCAAUGUUUUAUGACGUGGUCGAUAUGCUGAUAGAGGAUUAAAUUUCAGAAACAUCUAGACGAAUUUUUAUCGAGUUGCGCCACGUCACGAGCCACGUUACGCGCGACGCCACGCAACACGUCCUAUUUGUCGGUUUCCCUCCCGUACAGAACAUGGCCGUUGCCGCCAUCUUCCAGCAGCAGCGGCCGCAGCCCUCCGAGGGAGAUCCGCUCGCCUCCGUCCCGCUGCUCAAAGUGCGGCGCAGCAGCUGCGACUUCGUGAUGAUGCCCUCCGCGCUGCGCAAGUCCGCCACCACCACCACCUUUGCGCGCAUCUCCAUGGACGGACUCACCACGGGGCCGGGGGAGGCCGAGCGAGGGGGCACCAUUGCAGGUGUAUGUGUGUGUGGGGGGGGGGGGAUGGGGAGGGGAAGCGGGGAGAGCAGGGGGGAGGGGGAGAAAACAAAAACACAAGUGCGUGCUGACAAGAAUGCUACACAUGGCAAGUACUACUCGCAAAAGGGGGAGUUGGCUUUGCAGCAGAGGCGUCCCUCUGGGUGAGAGGACCCGAAAAGGUGAUUUACUGGAAGAGCAUGUCCAUUGUACACGGCGCGCGGCAUGUGGCGCGCGAAGGGAGGCGCGGGGACCUGGGCCGCCACCACCGCGCCUCGCCAAGGCGUCAUGCUGUCCGGCCCGGGAACCUGUCUGCCUGCUUCGAUGCUGGCAGACGGCAGAUACCGCCGUGCCGGCAUGUGUGUGACUGGCGCGUGUGUCUGUAUGUAUUACGCAGAUAGCUUGAAGCGGGAGUCCUGGAACCAGCGGCAUGGCAGCACCACCACCACCACCACCGCCACCAACGCCAACGCCCACGCUUCCAACUGCAAUGCCUCCUUCACAUUAUCGUUUCCAAAGGUAAGGAUGAGGAUGAGGAUGAGUGUGCUUAGCCAACGAGACGUUUGUUGUAAUGUGUGUGUGUGUGUGUGUGUGUGUGUGUGUGUGUGUGUGUGUGUCACGUGCAGCUUCCCUUCGUAACCCCGUCCUCCCCCCUCCCUUCCCUAACCCCUCAUCAGGGCCCUCCCUGCAAGGGGCACACCCUGCUGCUGCAUCGCACCCUCCUGGAUGAGGCCCUGUCCAAGCAGGUGGCUGGUCUGUGUAUUGACGACUGCCAGACGUACACGGUGGUGAGCUGCCGUGGAAAGAAAAGGGGAGGGGGCUGUGUGCGUGUGUGUGUGUGUGUAUGACCCUCCGCCGCGAGAUUACCGGAUCCCCCUCCCUGGCCCCCGCCUUCCCCCCGCCUCUCAGAGCAUGAAGGCCUACCCUCGCGACCUGGUCCUCUCCCGGGGCGCAGUCAUGCCCCUGUCCCUGGCCCUGGCCACCAUCAGCGGGGAGAGCAGACCCAGAAUGGCGCUGUACGUCACGUACGGCACCAGCCUACCCAGACCACUGCUUCAGGCGGUAGUGCAGGAGCUGCAACAGCUGCUGCAGGUGCUUUGAAGAGGAAGGGCUUGGGUGGUGGGGGGGGUGGGGGCGGGAGUGAGGUACACAAGAACACAGGGCGCCCGUGUUGCUCAGGUUCGUUAGGGCAAGCAAAAACGCAGUGGGAGGUCUCCCCUCCGGUUGGGGACCCGGAGCGCAAGUAGCACAGCGUUGCGUCGCAUGUGUCCAGCGAUACCCGGCCCUGCCGCCAAAGAGAGGGCUUUGGGCCCCGUUGAAGGAGGCGGCGGUGUGCCCACGACGUGUUUGUGCGUGUUCAUCUAUCGGCUUGUGCACCGGUAGCCACCGCUGCGCACUGGAGCAUGGCGUCCGCGUGCCUGUUGAGCGUCCAUCCUCUUCAUUUCAGCGUUACCCGCAAAACCCAACCUCUCCCCUCCUUUCUCUCCCCCUCUCCGCCAACCUCCCCACCACACCAGGCCAUCCUGCCCGUGAUAACCUCCAAGUUCAAUGGCAUUGUACGACCGGAGUACCACUACCUGGUUUCCCAGUUGCAGGUGGGCGGGUGGUGGUGUGGGGUACGGAGGGGCUGUAACGGGAGAGAAGCUAAGGGAUGGAGGCCAGGGUUGUGCGGGCGCCGCUGCCCCGGGCCCUCACUAGGGCUUGGGACGAGGAUACGCACACGGAGCCGGGGCCACAGCUGCCGGGGCCUGACGCCCCCCGCUGCCCCGCUGCCCCGCGGCGUCCUCAACACCCCAGGACGCUACACAGCGACGAGGCAAACCCUCCGCUGCCCAGGCCUCCGCCACCGCCACUACACCCUCCGGUGACCCCCUCGACGAGCCGUACGACGGCGGAGGUCCCGAGGAGCAGCGCGCCUUGUCGUUCAUUCUGCCAGGUGACGCUGUGCCGCCGGCGCUGCCGUCCCUGACACCCAGCUUCAGAGCAGGCGGCGGCGGUGGCGGUGGCGGUGGCGGGGACCGGGCCUCACCGUCCUGUGCCCCGCCUACGCCAACGGCUGCAGCGCAGGCCCAGCCGCCGCGUCCCAGUGGCGGCCAAGCGCACGUCGUACGACCGCCGUCGGGACCGUCGUCGCCGCCGGCACCGUUGGCGCUGCUCACCUUGGCGCACUUCACCGGCGGCGGCAGCCAGAGACCAACGUUGCCAUCCAACGGGGCGGCGACGGAGGGCGACACGGUUGCGGCGGCGGCGGCGGCAGGCGCAGCGGCUGCUGGUGCGGCAGCCACUCGGGAGCCGCUCGAGGGUGAUAUUGACCUGGACUAUCCGGCGCGGCGCGGCUCCGCGGCGCAUCUUAGCCGGUUGGCCUUGGCAGCAGGCUUGACAGCUGAGAGCAGCGGCCGGUCCCAGUCGGCGUCGGAGAGCGAUGCGGCCCAAACCCGGCGACUGCUUCCUGGUCUGGCCACACGCAGUGUUUCCUUCCACUUGGAGGCGGCCCAGGUGCCGCGAGGUAAUCAAGAUCAAGAUAUGUGACACACACACACACACACACGCACACACAGAUCGUGAAAACACACACGGAUCAAUAAAACUCACACACGGGGUCCAGUGGGAAGGGAGGAGGUUCGGGGAGGGGUGAGGAGAGGAAGGGAGGGUAAGACGAAAGGGCGUCUUGACAUGGGGGAGAGGGGAACGGGACGAGGAAGGAUAGGAGGCAUACUGGCUGGGAGAAUAGGUGGAGAGUUGCGAAGGCCGCGUUGGCCCCUUGAGACAAGCUUGCCACCGUGUAUAUAGGCAGCCCCGGGGAGGUUGUCAUCCAUCCAAAGUGGGCUUGAGACUCUCCCGCGGCGCCUCACUAUCCGGAUUCCCCCUCCACCUGUUUCCCCUUUGACCUCCAUCUCCUUUCUCCUUCACUUUUGCACGUGCCUCCCUCCCCGCCCCGCCCGCCCCUCCAGGCGCCUCCAAACUCGCCCCCAUCAUCGCCUCCAUGCACGACCGGCUGCGAGCGGCUCAGGCGGUGCAGAUGACCAUAUCGGGGCGCUCAGAGGCUCGGCAGCAGGAUCUGCGGAGCAUCAAGUUGCUGCAGGAGAUUGGACAGGGAGGUGAGAAGGAGCGGGUAAUGGGGAUUACAGAGCGGGACGGGGUGGGGCGGGGCUGCAGUUGAAACAUAAUACUAACUGAUUCCCAGCGGCCGUAGCUGUGGCUGUAGCUGUGGCUGUAGCUGCAGCUGUGGUUUAUAGCUGUGGAGCCAGCGUCAGGACAGGCUGUGCCCGUGUAUAGCACUGUUCCCAAUUAGUGCGCGGUGGAAGCGGAGGAGGAGGAGGAGGAGGACGAGAAGGGCGCCGGCCACCCUGCUUUUCUGCCUCGGCUGCUGCCCUGUGCAUGUGCUGUACACGUAAACCUCGCUUCCCUCACUUAAGCCCUGCGGUUGUUGUGGUGGUAGUUGCUGCCUGUGUGGCGAUAUGGCGACCUCGGGUAGCGUGGGAAGUGGGUAUUCGACCGGAGUCCCCCCGGACCGUGUCGAUGUCCCAGUCAGGUUGGUGUGUUCGUGUCCGGACCUGCUGCCGUACCGCCACCUGCCGUUACUGUUACCGGGCCCCGGCUCUGCAUGGCCCUGACCCCGAUGUCUCACCUGAACUGAUUCUGACCACAUAACACGAUUACCGCGCGCUGCUCCGCCUCCCCACGCGGACCCCCCUUCGUCCUCACACGCACAUGCAAUUUGGUACGGGCCUACCAGGGUACGGCACAGUGUACAGGUGCGCGGAUGCGGGCAGAGGGCCGGGGUGGGGUCGGGGGGGUGAUUAGUGAAGGGGGGGGACCCGAUGCAGAUGACGCCGCGGGAGCGUGUUGCGGUAAGCAAGGGGGGGGCCCUAUCCAGGGGCUUUGGAUUGCUGUGCUGCCGCUGCUGCUAGCUCCUCCGUCCGUCAGCUCCCCGGUGUCCCCGGUGUCUGAUCUCUCUCCAGUUGACCCCGCCUGUGGCCACCACGUGCUUCGUGUCACCCCGUUCAGGGGCACUUUCCACGGCACCGAGGUCGCCGUGAAGAUCAUCAAGCAGUCCCGACUGGCCGGCGUACAGAGCUCCUCCAACCUGCUCGCAUCAAGCCACGGACUGGGGCUGCACAAACAAAACCUGCACGACGCAAUUGAGCUCGUGGCGUCAGUGUCGAUGAGCCACAUCAACAUUGUGCAGGUGAAAGGGUUGAUAGCGACAAAAGGAGGGCGGGGAGGGGGAAGAGCGGCAGGGGAGGCGGAAAAAAAUGAGAGCAAGGGAAGCAAGGGGAAAGGGGAACUGCGCGUGGGGAUUGGGUCAAAGGAGAAAGAAGGGAGCUCAGUUGGAGAUUUCAAAGAGAGGGACGAAGGCGUACGUUGACCGCCGUACGCCUUGCUUACAACCGGCUGGUUUCCCAAUCCGAGUCCCGAACCCAACUAAGCCCGAACUGUCCAAUGCAACCUCAGUAAGGCUGAACUCAACCCCCCCACACACACACGCACACACACACCACCCACCACACACACACCCACCACCCACCACACACACACACACAUCGUAACCAUCGGCAUUUCCCUUAUCGCGGUUCAGACCUUUAACGGUACCCACACAUGCGAUACCCAUGUCAUGCCGCGGUUGUUACUAUUGCCCGUUGGUGAUCGUCAUGGUGCUGCUCCGGGGCUGUUUGGGCGGUGGCGCGGCCGCUGCUGUUGUUGUUGUUGGCGGCGGCGGCGGCGGUGAUGGCAGGUUCCCGCCUACUUUAUGGAUGUCAGGUGAGGGAGAGAGGGAGGGGCAGAGAGGGACGGGGGAAGGGGACCACACGACUUAAGGGGCCAUGAAGGCAUCCCAAGGGGGGGUUUGCGCGAAGGUACAGCGCACGAGGUGAUGGGCUGAUGCGGCGGGGCGGAAAGAAGGCUGCGAGGUGGCUGGAGCGAUCUUGUCCUCUCUAAAUGCUUGUCUGUCUAUUUGCCUGUCUAACCACCAGCUACCCCCACCUGCCCCCUCACUGCCCCUAACCGCUGGCUGACUCCAAAGGCUUGAGAAGCCUGACGACAUGUCUCGUGACUCUGUGGACGCCCCGUCCGAGUCCCGACCCUUCCGAUUGCGCCACUCGCCCUCCCUCAUGGAAUCUCCCAAGGCAGGACAGGAACUGUACGGUGAGUACGGGCAGGGGCAGGGGCAGGGGCAGGGGUCACAACACCGAUCAUAUGCCGGCUGGAUACUGCUUUGGAGUGGCUGGCCGGGCGUCCGGAUUUCUUAACCAUACCGUUGUCCUCCCGUGCCCCCUCCCCUCCUCUCCCCCCCGUCUCUGUGGGUCUAAAGGCGAGGGAGCCAUGGCGCUCGUGCUCGAGUAUUGUAAGUUGGAGCUCUGAGGCGCUGCGUGGCGGGGUUGGGGCUGGGCGGGUGUGCUGGUUUGGGGGAGAGUUGAUGAAAAUGGGAGGGAGACGAAGGCAGCGGAGUGAACGGGGUUGAGGUGGGGCUAAGCAAAGGCAGCGGCCUGGCAGGCUGACGGCUGGGGGUUUCGCGUGCGUGGUGCAGGUUGGGCCUGCGCGUGUGGCUGUGCGGUUUGGAUCGACCCCUGUCCGCUCCCCCUUUUCCCUAGACUAGGAUAGCCGGGUUGGUCGGGUCGGUCGCGCGUUUCAGUUUUUUUGGGGGUUUGGGAGGAGCACUUGCAUAUCGACAGCUUUUCAGUACCAGCUCAUCAGCUAGUUCUCCAGGCCAGCAGCUAACUUUAUGCCAGCUUUACGACAGCACUGCUUCACUACUUCUCCGUCGCCUUCACAACUACUUUUCUACACCUACUUCUUUACGGCUUGGCAAUACUACUUUUUCUUGAUUAGUCCUGGCGGCUUAGGUAGGUAGUUCUUCCGACAUAUCUUCACUUCGUCAUCACGAGGUCGCGGUCUUCACGGACGCCUUUCGGUCAGUUUUACGUUUGGUACACUCUUGCCCUGGCAGCAGCUUCACUCGUGUGUGGUUCGUCUUUCCCCCUUUUCCCUCUCCUCCCCUCCGGCCCCCUCCCUCCUCCCCGCUUUUUUCCCCCUCCAGGCGACUGCGGCAGCUUGUGCGAUGCGAUCUUGAACCGCAAAUUCAUUGAGAGGGUCACACCAAGUGAGUUAGACUACGCUCCUCAUCGAAAAUGGAGUUUAAUUUAGUUAAACUUUAUUAAACUACAAAGUCACAGCGAGCGCUGUAAGGUUCAUAAUUGUAACCCUUUAGUUCUUCCCAACAAUUAUGUUAUCGCCAAACUUAACUACAUUUGUCCAACAAACCAAGUGAGUGAGAAGAGUACGGAAGUACGGCUGACUGGACGAGAAAGGGGAGAGGGGGGCACGGACGGACAAGCGGGCAAGAUGGCCGGGAGUGCAAAGCUGGCAGAUGGCCACACAUUCCGACGCCGGGGUGGGGCCAUCCCCGUUUGUGUUCGUACCAACGGGGAUGUGCCGCACAGCAGCAGGACCAGGACCAGGACCAGGACUAGGAUUGCCCGCAGCUGCAUACCUGAUAAACCCGCCUUUCUGCACUGACCGUACUGUAUCGCACUACAUUACAUUACGGCAUUGUGCUCUACUGUAAUAUUCUUUUCUGUACUGUACUAUACUGUGCUGUUCCGUCACGACCCUUCUGCAAUCCUGCCGCCCUGCCCUGCCCUGUCCUGCCACGCCCUGCAGAGAAGCCGCCGCAAACGGGCGGUGUUGCAGGAGGAAGUGGAGCCACUCCUCAGUCCGGCCCCUCCACCUCCUCCGCUUUCUCCUCCUCCCCCUCCUCCUCCUCCCCCGCCUCCUCCGCACCCGCCAAGACCUACCUGGCUAUCAACAUGCGG